UACAGAGGGUGCAAGCGUUGUUCGGAAUUAUUGGGCGUAAAGGGCGCGUAGGCGGCAAAUUAAGUCAGCUGUGAAAUCUCCGAGCUUAACUCGGAACGGUCAGCUGAUACUGAUCUGCUAGAGUGCGGAAGGGGCAAUCGGAAUUCUUGGUGUAGCGGUGAAAUGCGUAGAUAUCAAGAGGAACACCUGAGGUGAAGACGGGUUGCUGGGCCGACACUGACGCUGAGUGCGCGAAAGCCAGGGGAGCAAACGGG
rnacentral:rRNA from 1 species